UAUAUUUUAAAUAUGUUUUAAACCCUAAAAAAAAAAAAAUCUAAGAGAAAGAAAUGUAUUCAUAAUAAUAAUAUAAAUAUGCAAACAUUUUUACAGAGAAAUAUUUUCCGACAAAGUCCAUUCAUUUGUUUACGAUAUAAUUAAAAUAUAUAUAUUUUUUUUAUUCUCAAAGUGUCAAAAAUACACUUAUUAUGAAAUAGUCUACACAAAAAAUCAAUUUAUAUCAUAAAAUAUUUUCAUGCAUGUCAAUAAUUCAUAUAAUACAAUAUUUUUAAAAAAAGACCUCCCUAAUUUAUAUACAACAAAAUAGAAAAAUAAUUUGUAUAAUAAUAAAUAUAUUUUUAAAAACACCUUCCUUAAUUCAUGUAUUACAAUAUUUCAAAAAUACCUUCCUAUUUUUAUAUAACAAAAUUAAAAAAUAAUUUAUAUAGUGACAAAAAAAUAUCUAAAAAAACAAACAAAACACUUUCAGAACAUUUAUACAAAAAAAUGUUAUUCAUAAAAUAACAAUGAGAAAAUAUUUUUAAAAUAUCUUCCGAAAAUGUAUACAAUAAAAUUGUAUUCUUUACAACUGCAGCUAUUUUGUAUUUACUCUCAAAAGAUUGCACAAGUGUACCUAAUGAAGUGUCCCGUGAGUGUCACAAAGUUUUUGUACGUUUUCUCAGAAAUACGCAAAAUGACAUGAAUAUGUUUAUUUACGUGAAUAUGAGAAAUGUCUGUUGGCGUCACGCAGUCCUCGUGAAUGCAGGCGUACCAAAUGUUUUGGCCAGGGAGGGAGCUGCUAUUUGUUGGCUCAACAGCUGUGUGUGUGUGUGUGUGUGUGUGUGUGUGUGUGUGUGUGUGUGUGUGUGUGUGUGUGUGUGUGUGUGUGUGUGUGUGUGUGUGUGUGUGUGUGAUGCCAUAAAUCAAUAACAUUGCAUCUAAUAGACAAUGUCUCAUUUGUGGUGACAUCCAUCAAAAUGAGGGUGGUCCCAAAAAGGAGGCAUUUUUCACACUGACUGUGUGUCGCUUUUAAAAGUGCUCCCCCUCUGGUCAACAUAUGAAAUAACAAGUGUGGGUAAGAAAUUGAAAUGCGCCCCCUUUGGCCAAAAUUAAUUAAAAAAAUAAAUAAAUAUAUAUAUAGAGACAUACUGUAAAUCAUGAAGAUUAAAAACCAAUACAAACAAAAAAUAAAAAAUAAAUUAACUAAAAUCUCAUAUUCUUUCUGUUUCUGUACUAUUGCAAUAUAUUCUUGUAAAAUUAUCACUUUUUAAUGUAAAAUUAUGUCUUUUUAAAGUAAAAUGAUUUUUUAUGUAAAAUGGUGACAUUUGGCAUAUAAAAUUCUGACUUUUAUCACAAUAUUGACAUUUUAUUUUGUUGUUCUUGUAAAAUAGUAAACAUUUUUGAGUACAAUUAUGUCUUUUGUCAUCAUUUUGCCAAGUAAAAUUCCAAUUAUUAUUAUAAUGUUGCCAAAAUUUAAAGUUUUCUUUUGAAAUUGUGACUUUUGUCAGGUAAAAUGAUGACUCUUUUCAUAAAAUUGCCAAAAUGUUAAGUUUUUCUUAUAAAAUUGUUAGUUAUUGAGUAAAAUUUCAACUUUUAUCAUAACAUUGCACAAAUGUUCACUUUUUCUUGUCAAAUUUUGACUUGCGUUGAGUAAAAUGACGACUUUUAUUAUAAAAAAUGCCAAAAAUGGUGACCUUUUUCUUGUGAAAUCCCAACUCAUUUUUCACAACAACCUUUUUUUAUAUUUGCAUAGUAUGUAUAUAUUAUUAAUGUUGUAAAUACACUUCUUUAUAUAUCUAGAAAGGCUGGUCCUAAAGAGGGAGGCAUUUUUCUCAGGUGUCAAGAAUGUAACAAGUACAAGACUGUGUGUGUGUGUGUGUGUGUGUGUGUGUGUGUGUGUGUGUGUGUGUGUGUGUGUGUGUGUGUGUGUGUGUGAUGCCAUAAAUCAAUAACAUUGCAUCUAAUAGACAAUGUCUCAUUUGUGGUGACAUCUAUCAAAAUGAGGGUGGUCCCAAAAAGGAGGCAUUUUUCACAUUGACUGUGUGUCGCUUUUAAAAGUGCUCCCCCUCUGGUCAACAUAUGAAAUAACAAGUGUGUGUAAGAAAUUGAAAUGCGCCCCCUUUGGCCAAAAUUAAUUAAAAAAAUCAAUAAAUAUGUAUAUAGAGACAUAAUGUAAAUCAUGAAUAUUAAAAACCAAUUACAAACAAAAAACAAAAAAUAAAUUAACUAAAAUCUCAUAUUCUUUCUGUUUCUGUAGUAUUGCAAUAUAUUCUUGUAAAUUUGUUACUUUUUAAUGUAAAAUUAUGUCUUUUUAAUGUAAAAUAAUUUUUAAUGCUAAAUGGUGACAUUUGGCAUAUAAAAUUCUGACUUUUCACAAUAUUGCCAUUUCAUUUUGUUGUUCUUGUAAAAUAGUAAACAUUUUUGAGUAAAAUUAUGACUUUUGUCAUCAUUUUGCCAAGUAAAAUUCGGAUUAUUAUUAUACUUUCAACAUUUAUCAUAAUAUUGCACAAAUGUUCAGUUUUUCUCGUAAAAUUGUGACUUGCGUUGAGUAAAAUGACGACUUUUAUUAUAAAAAUGCCAAUAAUUGUGACCUUUUUCUUGUGAAAUCCCAACUCAAUUUUCACAACAAGCUUUUUUAUAUUGGCAUUGUCCAUCCAUCCAUCCAUCCAUCCAUUUUCUACCGCUUGUUCCUUUUGGGGUUUGUAUAUAUUAUUAAUGUUUUAAAUACACAUCUUUAUAUAUCUAGAACGGCUGGUCCUAAAGAGGGAGGCUUUUUUCUCAGGUCUCAAGAAGGCAACAAGUACAAGACUGUGUGUGUGUGUGUGUGUGUGUGUGUGUGUGUGUGUGUGUGUGUGUGUGUGUGUGUGUGUGUGUGUGUGUGUGUGAUGCCAUAAAUCAAUAACAUUGCAUCUAAUAGACAAUGUCUCAUUUGUGGUGACAUCUAUCAAAAUGAGGGUGGUCCCAAAAAGGAGGCAUUUUUCACAUUGACUGUGUGUCGCUUUUAAAAGUGCUCCCCCUCUGGUCAACAUAUGAAAUAACAAGUGUGUGUAAGAAAUUGAAAUGCGCCCCCUUUGGCCAAAAUUAAUUUAAAAAAAUGAAUAAACAUGUAUAUAGAGACAUACUGUAAUAACUUGAAGUAAAUCAUGAAGAUUAAAAACCAAUUACAAACAAAAAAUAAAAAAUAAAUUAACUAAAAUCUCAUAUUCUUUCUGUUUCUGUACUAUUGCAAUAUAUUCUUGUAAAAUUAUAACUUUUUAAUGUAAAAUUAUGUCUUUUUAAUGUAAAAUGAUUUUUAAUGCAAAAUGGUGACAUUUGUCAUAUAAAAUUCUGACUUUUAUCACAAUAUUGACAUUUUUUGUUGUUGUUCUUGUAAAAUAGUAAAACAUUUUGAGUAAAAUGAUGACUUUUGUCAUCAUUUUGCCAAGUAAAAUUCAUAUUAUUAUUAUAAUUUCAACAUUUAUCAUAAUAUUGCACAAAUGUUCACUUUUUCUUGUGAAACUUUGACUUGCGUUCAGUAAAAUGACGAGUUUUGUUUUAAAAUGCCAAAAAUGGUGACCUUUUUCUUGUGAAAUUCCAACUCAUUUUUCGCAACAAGCUUUUUUUUAUAUUUGCAUAGUAUGUAUAUAUUAUUAAUGUUGUAAAUACACUUCUUUAUAUAUCUAGAAAGGCUGGUCCUAAAGAGGGAGGCAUUUUUCUCAGGUCUCAAGAAGGCAACAAGUACAAGAGUGUGUGUGUGUUUGCGUGUGCGUGUCUGUGUGUGUGUGUGUGUGUGUGUGUGUGUGUGUGUGUGUGUCUGUCUGUCUGUCUGUCUGUCUGUCUGUCUGUCUGUCUGUGUGUGUGUGUGUGUGUGUGUGUGUGUGUGUGUGUGUGUGUGUGUGUGUGUGUGUGUGUGUGUGUGUGUGUGUGUGUGUGUGUGUCAAUGAGACAGAUGUGAUUUAGCUAAUGCUGUCUGAGAGCAGGGCAGGGCUACAAGAGCCAAUGACAUCAUGCGCAGAGAGAGAGAGAGAGCAUACAAUAGAACACAAGUGGUCCGGCCCAAGGCAGUGUGAGGCAGGAGGGCUCCUCUCUCUCACACACACACACACACACACACACACACACACACACACACACACACACACACACACACACACACACACGCACACAGAGGCAGCGCAGAGAGCGGCGUGACAAGAAGAGAGAGGAUGUGUGUGAGCAGGAUGAUGCGGACAUAAGAGAAACUCGCCUGGAAGAUUUCCCCCCUCCUGCGUGCACCCCCCAACCCCACCCCUCCCCCCUCCCUCCCUUCCCUCCCCCCCCUGUCCCGUCCUCCCCCGCACAGUCUCCAGGUGGCUCCUCCGGGCAUGCUCCUGAAGACCAAGUAUGACCGCUUUCGCAACGAGUCUGUGACCUCCUGCGACGACCUGAUGCAGAGCUUAGCCAUGAGCGGCAAAGUGGCGUCCACCCCGGUGGUCUCCUCCUCCUCCACCCGCGGACUCCCCCUGCCUCCUUUGGACCCCGGGUCGGCGGGGUCCGCCGCCGCGCCGGCCGACUCCCCCUGCCUGGACGGAGAGCAGGACGGCGCAACCACCUUCUGCAUGCUCAUCCCCAAGAUGCCGCAGUGGAAGUUCUCCAACUCCUUGCUGAGUCGAAGCCCCUCCAGCUCCAGCAAGUCCCCGUCCCAAGCCUCGUCGUCAUCGUCCUCCUCGUCGCACAGGCACAGCGUGGCGGCGUCCGCGGCCAGCGGCCCCGUGGCCAGCCUGGCGGCGGUGCUCACCUCCUGUGACCCCGUGUGCAUCACCCCGUGUUCUCUGCAGGCCAUCCGGGGCCAGAGAGCCGCCGCCGCCGCAAACUCCGGGGGCCACGGAUUCGGAGAAGUCACGGCGAGCCCGGCCGCCUCCAGAUCGGGGAUGAGUCGCAGGACCCGAGUGGAGGGCAUGUGGCCCGGCGGCGAGGACUUCAGCCAGAAGGGAAGCUUCAUCCACAAACCUUCUCAUGGGUGGCUGCACCCGGACAAGAAGAUCGCAGGACCGGGAGCCUCCUACGUGGUCAGGUACAUGGGCUGCAUGGAAGUGCUGAAGUCCAUGCGCUCCCUGGACUUCAACACGCGCACUCAGGUGACAAGGGAGGCCAUUAACAGACUGUGCGACGCGGUGCCCGGCGGAAAAGGCGCCUGGAGAAAAAAGGCUGUGAACAAAGCUCUUCAGUCCAUCAUGGGGAAGAGCAACCUGCGCUUCGCCGGCAUGAGCAUCGCGGUGAAUAUUUCCAUCGACGGGUUGGGCCUGCUCAUUCCCACCACCCGACAGAGGUUGGCGCACCACCCCAUGCAGUCCAUCUCAUUCGCCUCCGGCGGAGACACGGACACACCCGAUUAUGUGGCGUACGUGGCCAAAGACCCGGUCAACCAGAGAGCGUGUCACAUUCUGGAAUGUUCCGACGGUUUGGCCCAGAGCGUCAUCAGCACCAUCGGGCAGGCCUUCGAGCUGCAGUUCAAACAGUACCUGCACAGUCCGCCCAGGACUCUGACGUCGCUGGACAGGUCCUGCAGGGCGGAGGAGGUGGAGGAGGAGGACUGCUCGGAACACGACUACUACAACAGCAUCCCGGGCAAGGAGCCUCCCGUCGGCGGGGUGGUGGACUCCAGACUGCGGCCGAGUGGACUCUCCCAGCAGGGUCACGUCCUCACCCAGCCUCAGAGCAAGGCCGCGGCGCAGAUGGGCUCACCGGCAAAAAGAGAGCUAGCAUCCCUCCAUGCCAGUCAGCCGUGCUAUGAACUCCAUUGGGACGCUGACGCAACCAGUGGCUCAGAUGGUUACCUGUGUGCUGACGAGCCAUCACAGAGCAGCAAAGACUACGAGGAGCACCAAUACGUCAACACGCAGAGUCUGGACAACUUGGAGUCUCUGGCUUUGGGGCCCGAUGGACCGCGAGGUCUCAGGGGACCAGAUAGUCCCAAGAAGGACCUCUUUGACAUGAGACCCUUUGAGGACGCCCUCAAGCUGCACGAGGCUGGUUCUGGUGCCACUAUGGCCCAAUGUAUGGGCGUCCAGGUCCUGGAGGACCAGUGGCCCAGUCCUCCGCGGCGCAGGGCCCCGGUGGCCCCGAAUGAGGACCAGCUCCGACGGGAGACCUGGUACCACAGCCGCAUGAGCCGCAGGGAUGCGGAGAAAGUGCUGGUCCGGGACGGAGACUUCCUGGUGCGGGAGAGCACCACCAACCCGGGUCAGUACGUGCUGACGGGCAUGCACUGCGGCCUCCCAAAACAUCUCCUGCUCGUGGACCCCGAGGGCGUGGUGCGCACCAAAGACAUGUUGUUCCAGAGCAUCAGCCACCUCAUCUCCUACCACCUGAAGAAGCAGCUGCCCAUCGUGGCGGCCGAGAGCGAGCUCCACCUCAGACAGGUGGUCAGGAGGAAACACUAGUGCACUCUGGUGCAAAGUGUUGAUGCCAGGUGGACAAAAGGAAGGAAGGAAGGCGAGUGAGACGUCACCAAGUAGUUCUUCUUCCACACAGUGUCCAGCAUGCAGGUGUUCAUGAUCAUGCAGGUGUUCAUUAUCAUGCAGGAGUUUAAGCUACAAAAGAAGACAAGACAAAGCCAAGGUGUCAAACAACCUAAAGAUGGCGUCCAGGAAGAAUGUCCGUCAC